UACAGAGGUCCCAAGCGUUGUUCGGAUUCAUUGGGCGUAAAGGGUGCGUAGGUGGCGCUGUAAGUCGGGUGUGAAAUUUCGGAGCUUAACUCCGAAACUGCAUUCGAUACUGCGGUGCUUGAGGACUGGAGAGGAGACUGGAAUUCAUGGUGUAGCAGUGAAAUGCGUAGAGAUCAUGAGGAAGACCAGUGGCGAAGGCGGGUCUCUGGGCAACAACUGACGCUGAGGAGCGAAAGCGUGGGGAGCAAACGGG
rnacentral:rRNA from 1 species